rnacentral:rRNA from 1 species
GAUGAACGCUGACAGAAUGCUUAACACAUGCAAGUCUUUGGCGAAUCUGUGCUUGCACAGGCUAGCCAAGGCGGACGGGUGAGUAACGCGUAAAGAACUUGCCCUGCAGACAGGGAUAACAGACGGAAACGACUGAUAACACCUGAUACAGUUGCCGGCACGCAUGUGCCUGGCAAUGAAAAGAGAUGCUGCAGGAGAGCUUUGCGUCCUAUUAGCUUGUUGGUGAGGUGACGGCUCACCAAGGCGAUGAUAGGUAGCCGGCCUGAGAGGGUGAACGGCCACAAGGGGACUGAGAUACGGCCCUUACUCCUACGGGAGGCAGCAGUGGGGAAUAUUGGACAAUGGGGGCAACCCUGAACCAGCAAUUCUGUGUGCACGAAGAAGGUUUUCGGAUUGUAAAGUGCUUUCAGCAGGGAAGAAGAAAGUGACGGUACCUGCAGAAGAAGCGACGGCUAAAUACGUG